rnacentral:rRNA from 1 species
AUUGAACGCUGGCGGCAUGCUUUACACAUGCAAGUCGAACGGCAGCGGGGUAGUGCUUGCACUACUGCCGGCGAGUGGCGAACGGGUGAGUAAUAUAUCGGAACGUACCGAGUAAUGGGGGAUAACCAAUCGAAAGAUUGGCUAAUACCGCAUACGUCCUGAGGGAGAAAGCGGGGGAUCGCAAGACCUCGCGUUAUUCGAGCGGCCGAUAACUGAUUAGCUAGUUGGUGGGGUAAAGGCCUACCAAGGCGACGAUCAGUAACGGGUCUGAGAGGACGAUCCGCCACACUGGGACUGAGACACGGCCCAGACUCCUACGGGAGGCAGCAGUGGGGAAUUUUGGACAAUGGGGGCAACCCUGAUCCAGCCAUGCCGCGUGUAUGAAGAAGGCCUUCGGGUUGUAAAGUACUUUUGUUAGGGAAGAAAAGGGAAGUGCUAAUACCACUUUUUGCUGACGGUACCUAAAGAAUAAGCACCGGCUAACUACGUGCCAGCAGCCGCGGUAAUACGUAGGGUGCGAGCGUUAAUCGGAAUUACUGGGCGUAAAGCGAGCGCAGACGGUUAUUUAAGCAGGAUGUGAAAUCCCCGGGCUCAACCUGGGAACUGCGUUCUGAACUGGAUAGCUAGAGUGUGUCAGAGGGGGGUAGAAUUCCACGUGUAGCAGUGAAAUGCGUAGAGAUGUGGAGGAAUACCGAUGGCGAAGGCAGCCCCCUGGGAUAACACUGACGUUCAUGCUCGAAAGCGUGGGUAGCAAACAGG